rnacentral:misc_RNA from 1 species
CAUUCAUCUACCUGGAAGUACAAUAUGCAAAUGAAAGAAAAGAAAAAUACAAAUCUAACAUCAAAAGAAAAAGUGAGACAUGCUCCAGGAAAACCUUGGCAACUUCUCAAAGUUGUUACUCGUCGGACUUGAACAUAGACCUAUGCCUCUAAUGGCUAACUGAGAGAAAAGUAACUAAACAUAUAUCAGUGGAACAAGGGGCUUAAAAUACUAACUCCAAUAUGCAAAUGAAAGAAAAGAAAAAUACAAAUCUAACAUCAAAAGAAAAAGUGAGACAUGCUCCAGGAAAACCUUGGCAACUUCUCAAAGUUGUUACUCGUCGGACUUGAACAUAGACCUAUGCCUCUAAUGGCUAACUGAGAGAAAAGUAACUAAACAUAUAUCAGUGGAACAAGGGGCUUAAAAUACUAACUC